UACAGAGACUGCAAGCGUUAUUCGGAUUCACUGGGCGUAAAGGGUGCGCAGGCGGUUGUGUGUGUCAGGUGUGAAAGCCCGGGGCUUAACCCCGGAAUUGCGCCUGAAACUACAUGACUAGAGCAUUGGAGAGGGUAGCGGAAUUCACGGUGUAGCAGUGAAAUGCGUAGAUAUCGUGAGGAACACCAGAGGCGAAGGCGGCUACCUGGACAAUUGCUGACGCUCAGGCACGGAAAGCGUGGGGAGCAAAAGGG
rnacentral:rRNA from 1 species